GACGAACGCUGGCGGCGUGCUUAACACAUACAAGUCGAACGGAAAGGCCCUGCUUGCAGAGUGCUCGAGUGGCGAACGGGUGAGUAACACGUGGGUGAUCUGCCCUGCACUUUGGGAUAAGCCUGGGAAACUGGGUCUAAUACCGAAUACCUACCAUGAUUUAGUGUUUGUGGUGGAAAGCCUUGUGCGGUGUGGGAUGAGCCCGCGGCCUAUCAGCUUGUUGGUGGGGUAAUGGCCUACCAAGGCGUCGACGGGUAGCCGGACUGAGAGGUCGAUCGGCCACAUUGGGACUGAGACACGGCCCAG
rnacentral:rRNA from 1 species